GCAGCAGGCAGUCUGUCCCAGACCUUCAUGGGAGAAAGUCUGUCUCCAGAGCAGGAGACCAGCACCUGGGACAGUGUAAUGCUGGGCAGGCUCGGGGGAGUAGAAGGGAACUCCAGCUGCUACCUGCCAGGCUGCAGGUCCUGAGGGAAGGGCCUAGCUGGUGCAAAGGGGCCAAAGGGGAAGUGGCCCAGGGACAGAUGGACAAGGGGAGAGAAGGAGGGCAUGGAGGCUGCCACUAAAGGGUCCCUGGGUUGGGACUUAGAGUGGUGGGUGGGCCGGGGUCCACCCCCUUCCCCCUUGUACUGCACGUGGCCGUGCAGUAGGGUGGCUGAAACAAACUGCAACCAGCCCUUGAGACAAGGGGCUAGACUUUGGAGGUUGUGGUUGGCCACUGAGGCCAGUGCAUGGACUUUUGCUAAUCCCGCCCCCAAAGGGGGUGAGGAUGGACUAGGGGGCACUGCUGGAGGGCAGUGGCCUGAAGAGGAUGCUGCCAAGCAGGGAGCAACGCAAGUCCAGACACCAGCAAGGAACAGAUGAUGGAUGGGACACCACCAGCAGAAGGUGCUCUGCCAAGGACUGAGCUAAUUCCCGGAGCGACCACUGGGAGGCGCCAUGGUGGUGAGUCCCAACCCCGUCACACUCUUCCUCUACUUUCAACUGAGGAGGGAGAGCUGCAUUCCCAUAUGCUCCCCUUAUUUUAACUCCUGUUCAGCAUUACUAGAUUCUGCAGCCUGAUACCUUCUCACCUUAACAGUCAUGAGGAAGCAGGAGUUGAGAGAGAGAGAGAGAGAGCUGAGCUCCUUGAAGACUUAGAGAAGAAAAGGAAGUGGAACUCUCUGUUUUUAGUGGAGCAGAGAGGAAGCUGUGUUCCCCUGCAUUUACCUGUGCCCCAAUGUUUCUUCAACUUAUUUUUUUUGUUUUCAAUGUAUUUGAAUUUUACAGUGUGGUUAUUAUAUCUUUAACAUUGCUACUGAAGAGCAAGAUAAGCAUUUUGCCAAGGAAGUGUGAUAUAAACAAACUUAUUAUUA